GGGGGGUGUUUUUGCAUUUUAAAUCUGCUGGCUGCGGUGUAGGUCAGGCGAAUCGGAGGGACGUCACCGCGGCGCUCAGGAGCGCGUUACUAGAAAAAUCCUCCGACGCGGAGCUCGCACGCGGACAGCGGCCGCGCGCGCUAUCUGUCGCUCAUCAGCACCAGGAAGUCGCGAGCGUCACUACGUGCGUCACCUCCCAGAAAACAGGUUUACUGGGCGAUAAAUGUAUGAACAUGGCUAGCUGGUCCAAAGGCCUUGCCCAAAGUGUGCGACUGUCUGUGUAACCAUCCUGGGUGUCCCUUCCCUUAUGCUGUAUGCUGCCUGGGAUUGGCAUCAGCCCCUGCCCACUCCCACCAGAGACCCUGUACUGGAUAAAUGGGUGGAAGAUGGAUGGAUAUAAAUCCCAUGUGCACUUGGUUGUUUUCACUAUAAUGGAUCAGUUCUGCUUGCCCUAGGUAAAUUUAAGUCAAAUACAGCAAGGAUUACUAAAAAAAAGGGAUUAUGGAAAUGAAUGACUAAAAUCAACAAAGAUAAUCCUCAAUCAGCUCUGUAAAUAACAACAGUGGAGGUUAUCCGAAUCCCUUUGUCCUGCCUUGUGCCUUAUUCCACCCAGGAUAUGCCACGUGCCUUGUAUCCGUGGCCUCCAGCAUAGGCUCCGGACCCUCGGACCCUCACAAGCCUGAAUAGGACUAGCAGUUAAAGAAGAUGGAUGGAUGGGUGGAUGGAUGGAUGGAUAUUUUGCAUAAUUCUGACUGAGAUGAGCAGGUUUACGUGUGGAGCAGCUGCAUGGAUGCCACAGCACUACUAACACGCAGCUGAGCAUCAGUUGCUCUCAUGGACUGGUCUGAUUUAUUUCCUGACUGGGAGCAAGAUGAAGACGAGAUCUGUUUCAUCAUGGUAGAUACACCCCUUAUUGUUUUUUUUUUCUAAAAAAAAAACCUCAACCUAGGAUAACAUCUUACCAGACAUUCAUCUCCAUAUGACAUUCAUUACUGAUUAAUUCCUGUGAUGUCUAACUAGAACCAAGACAGAUGAAGUCAAACUAGAACCUUCACCAUGAGAAUAUCAUUCUAGCAUAAAUAUGUAUAUACAGUAUCUAUAUAUAAUAACUGUUGGAAUAACUGUUGGAAUAAGUAUAAUUACAUGCUGAAUGUAAUUAUAAGAAUGAAUUACAAGAAUGAAUUACAAUAAUUACAAGAAUGAAUGCCAUGAAUGCACUGUUCAGAUUCCCAUUUGCACACUAAGCAAGAUUUUCUGAUCUGAGUUCAGCUGCUGCUUCAGAUCCUUUGUUCACUGUAUGAUGUGUGAUAACGUACAAUGAAUGUUGAAAGGGGGCGAUGGGACGGUUUUCCUGAGGGCCUGUACGGGGCCGACGGUGCUGCUGAGGGGCCUCCUGGUGCCCCCCGCGGACGACUCCAGUCGCUCCUGUUGUUUCUCGCCCCUCCCGAUAUGGGGGCAGCACCAUAGACCGUCCUCCUUGCAGGCACUCUGUUAGAUCACUGGGGUACGAUUACAGUCGGUCAAAAACC